AGGCCCGUCCUCUAUAAACUACCCCAAGCUGCUUCUCUAAGAUUACCUCCUAUCUCCCCACCAGGUAGCUGUGCCCAGCACCCUCCGCUCUGCUGCCCCAGGGCAGAUCCCCAGUGCCAGAGGGGUGGCUGCUACUGCGAUGAGUUCUGCCGCGCUGUGCCCGACUGCUGCCCGGAUUACGGGGACGUCUGUCACCCUGGUUCCCAGACAACCACCCUUGUGCUGCAGGUGGUCGUGAGGAUGUUCCCGCCCAAGAGUCCUACCCCAGGAAGCCAGGCCUGGGUCCUGACUGUGGUUGGGGAAAGUAAAUGGGGAGUAGUGUGGCCUAG
rnacentral:lncRNA from 1 species